rnacentral:rRNA from 1 species
UCGCAUCUGUGCAUGCAGCAUAUCAAUAAGCGGAGGAAAAGAAACUAACAAGGAUUCCCCUAGUAACGGCGAGUGAAGCGGGAAGAGCUCAAAUUUGAAAUCUUAAAGGGUUUCCCUUUACGAAUUGUAGUUUAAAGAAGUGUUUUCUGUUGAGGUUUUGGUAAAAGUUCUUUGGAAUAGGACAUCAUAGAGGGUGAGAAUCCCGUAUUUGACCUUUACUUUCAACUUUGUGAUACACUUUCAAAGAGUCGGAUUGUUUGGGAAUGCAGUCCAAAAUGGGUGGUAAAUUUCAUCUAAAGCUAAAUAUUGGCGAGAGACCGAUAGCGAACAAGUACCGUGAGGGAAAGAUGAAAAGAACUUUGAAAAGAGAGUUAAACAGUACGUGAAAUUGUCAAAAGGGAAGCGUUUGACACCAGUGUUGUUUUUCUGAAAAUCAAUUAAAGAACUGUUUAUGCUAAGCUGUUUAGACUUUAUCAGCUAACUGUUUAGUUUUGAGCUUUUCUUUAAUGCACUUUUCAGUUAACAAGUCAACAUCAAUUUCUUUUGCUGUAUAAAAGCUUGAGGAAGGUGGCUUGAGAUUCGUCUUAAGUGUUUAUAGCCUCUUGCCUAUGCAGUCGGAGAGAUCGAGGUCUGCAGCGUAGAUCCUUCGGGGCUAAAUGCAUUUGUGCUAAGUUAUAGCAUUUUAUAGACAACUUGUUGACUAUGAUUUGUCUUGUAGCUUACUCGCUUAUGUUAUUUUACCUACGCUUAGGAUGUUGAAUCUGUGCGAGACUAC